GACGAAAGUUAAACCAAAAUGUUACACGCAGAUAUACCGCUUUAUUUGAUCUGUUUAAGCGUGUGGACUUAUUCAACUAAAACCAUUUUGACAUUGUCCCAGACCUCUCUAACAGAAUGAACCUCUCGUCUGCUUUGAUCCUUGUCGUGGUGGCUGUUGCUGUGGUGAUGGCACGGUACCCUAAUUGUGAUACUGAUGGAGAUUGCAAAAAAGGAGAAAUUUGCAGAUUUGAAGUCCACUAUAAAAGAAAAACCUGCCGACCUGCUGAGAAAAUAAUCAACCCCAUUAGUUUUGGACACCCCCCUGCCUGCGAAACUAAAGCGGACUGCACAGGAAACAGACACUGCGUAUACAAGGCAUUUUAUAAGGGGAAGGUGUGCAGCCUUGAACGUGGAUAGUGUUAGCUGAGGAUGUUUGUCUCAGUGGCAAUAAGCUGUUUUAAUCCGGACAACUAACUAAACUUUGUU